UACAGAGGGGGCUAGCGUUAUUCGGAAUUAUUGGGCGUAAAGGGCGCGUAGGCGCCAUGCGUGUCUUCCGUGAAAUCCCUCGGCUUAACUGAGGACGUGCGGAAGAAACUGCAAGGCUCGAGUCCGGCAGAGGGGGGUAGAAUUCCACGUGUGAGCAGUGAAAUGCGUAGAGAUGUGGAGGAACGACCGAUGGCGCAAGGCAGCCCCCUGGGUCAAGAUUG
rnacentral:rRNA from 1 species